rnacentral:tRNA from 1 species
CGGGACGUGGCUCAGCUUGGUAGAGCACCUGCUUUGGGAGCAGGGGGUCGCAGGUUCAAAUCCUGUCGUCCCGA